rnacentral:rRNA from 1 species
GUGGGGAAUAUUGGACAAUGGGCGAAAGCCUGAUCCAGCCAUGCCGCGUGUGUGAAGAAGGUCUUCGGAUUGUAAAGCACUUUAAGUUGGGAGGAAGGGCAGUAAGUUAAUACCUUGCUGUUUUGACGUUACCAACAGAAUAAGCACCGGCUAACUUCGUGCCAGCAGCCGCGGUAAUACGAAGGGUGCAAGCGUUAAUCGGAAUUACUGGGCGUAAAGCGCGCGUAGGUGGUUCAGCAAGUUGAAGGUGAAAUCCCCGGGCUCAACCUGGGAACUGCCUACAAAACUACUGAGCUAGAGUACGGUAGAGGGUAGUGGAAUUUCCUGUGUAGCGGUGAAAUGCGUAGAUAUAGGAAGGAACACCAGUGGCGAAGGCGACUACCUGGACUGAUACUGACACUGAGGUGCGAAAGCGUGGGGAGCAAACAGGAUUAGAAACCCUGGUAGUCC